UGGAGGUUUAUUGUUGUCUUUCAAGUCUCGAGUUGUGGGACAUAACAAUAGAGAGAUGAGAUCUAAACCCAACCCGUUGACCAAAAAAAAACAACCCUAAGAUUUGGUCUUCAAAAUUAUAUUUACGGGUUGUGCUAAAGAUUGUAUUAGUAAGAUUGGGUUUCCUUGGGUUCUAUAAGCGAGUUUUAGUGAUCUAAAUCCAACCCUAAGAUUUGAUCUUCAAGUGUCAGCCUCAGAUCCCUCUUAAACCACUUCAGACAGCUACAAUAUCAACCGCAAAGCAUAGCCUUCACCACCGCACAAGUCAUUCCUCAAACCUAACCUUCAGUACCAUCACACAAGUCGUUCCCAAAACCGUAACCAGCAUCUUUAGCUUAUCAAAUGGGUACAAGUUCUACGUUGGUGGGAGAUAUGGUUGGGUCCUUACUCCUUCCGAGGAUUAUUCACAUUGGUCUCACCGGAACAGUUUUCAAGUCAACGACACUCUUUGUAAGCCUCUUUCUUCUCUAAUAUUAUUGUACACAUUAAUCAGAGUAUUUAAUUUUACUUGACUGGAAGGCGAUCAUGUGGCCUGUGUUAAUAUCGAAUACUCUGAUCAACUCUAUUGUACAUGCAUAUGUUCUGGAGUUGAACUCUGUAACCUGUCUCGUAUUUUUUAUAUUAAUCAGAGUAUUUAAUUUUAAAUGAUCAUACUGGUUUUGUGUUUAAUAUCAUUCCCAUACGUACAUGUAGACGUUAUACGGUUAUA